rnacentral:rRNA from 1 species
CCUACGGGGGACAGCAGUAGGGAAUAUUGCUCAAUGGGGGAAACCCUGAAGCAGCAACGCCGCGUGGAGGAGGAAGGUUUUCGGAUUGUAAACUCCUUUUUUUAGAGAAGAAAAUGACGGUAUCUAACGAAUAAGAACCGUCUAACUCCGUGCCAGCACCCGAGGUAAUACGGAGGGUGCAAGCGUUACUCGGAAUCACUGGGCGUAAAGAGCGCGUAGGCGGGUUAGCAAGUCUGAUGUGAAAUCGUAUGGCUUAACCAUAGAACUGCAUUUGAAACUGUUAGUCUAGAGUAUGGGAGGGGUAGGUGGAAUUCUUGGUGUAGGGGUAAAAUCCGUAGAGAUCAAGAGGAAUACUCAUUGCGAAGGCGACCUGCUAGAUCAUAACUGACGCUGAUGCGCGAAAGCGUGGGGAGCAAACAGGAUUAGAUACCCUGGUAGUC